CAUGGCUGCUGCCGCCAAGGUUCCCCGGGCGUCAUGCCCGCGGGCUAAGAGGGAACUCGGUGAGCUCGUCGCGAGCGAUGCCGAGGCUGCCCCCGCAACUGUGAGCGGAGAGAUCCCGCCGCCGACGGUCACUGGUGCGCUGCACCGGGAAGGCCAGGCGGGAGCGACGAUCCGCGAGCCAGGAGACCUGCCUUCGGUACGCGCCGCGU
rnacentral:ncRNA from 2 species